AGUUCCACAAAGGCUCCUUCCCUGGUGUGUUUCUGCAACUGCAACGCAGCGGCAUGAGCCUUUACAGUGAAAAACAAAAUCAGGCUAAGAAUAUCAGCUCAUAAUAGUUUCACUGUACCUUUGCCUCCAAAUCACCAGAAAGGUCAGGGAACACUGCAAUCCAGCUUCCCCAACAGCUGUUGAACAGGGUAGUGCAGCAGCAGUGAGAGCUCCCAUGCGCUGUUUUGGAGCCCAUAAGUUGGUUUUCAAAGGUUUGUUUCUGGACUUUUGGCUCACUGGCGUUCUCUUCAGGGUCUAGGGAUGGUCUCCUCAUGAGCCACGAGGACUUUCUGGCUCUCUCUCCCCAUUUCCAGCCCAGAGCACCAGCGGCUACAAUGUGGACAAAACAGACUCGGUUUUUAAUUUAUAUUGUACCCCAGGAUUCUCAAGUCAGGCAUACUGUGCUAUUGUAAAAUCAAGAGAUUUUAAUAUUAUCAGUGGCAGCUGGUCAAUUAGGGCAAAUGGGACACUGCGAUACCAACCUCAGACGACCCUCACCUGCCUUGCUUCCUACUAAAAACCAGGCCAGGGGGUGGCACUGCUUGCCAGCUCUCUUCUACUUAGGUCUUAUCCAUGCCCCCAUUUCCCUCGCCACUUUUACCUGGGGAAACCUGUUCUUUAGCACUGAGUUGGAACAAACAGCAUUCGGGUUUUCUGCGGAUUGUUGCUUCUUCUGAUUUAGUGCUAAAGAGUAGGUUUAUCUAGGGGAAGUUGUGGAGCAAGGGCAAAACUGCUCAGACCCAUGCCUUGUAGAAUUCAACAGGGAGGAGGGUGGGAACAAACUAGAAUUAGUUGGCUCCAGCUGCCAUUGGCUCUAGUGCUGGCUCUGCCUACUGCUGGGCUCCCUGCCUUUUACCCAUGCAGUCCAAAUGGGCACUAGCCACCACUGAAUGUAAUUAAAAUCUUCUGGUUACUUUAGUUCAGGACUGUCUCCUCUGUAACUCCAUAUCCUUAAAAACAGACUCAAAUUUUAUCCUACUUAAGCCUUUGUGUAUUUAAAAUCUCCACGAUUUUCUGUUAGUUCUCUCCCAGACCCCUCAAUCCCCACUGAAUGUUAAGCCUUACAUUGUCUUUAUCUCACCUGUGCUCACUUUUCCCCUGCACUCACUUCUUUAUCAUGUCUUCCUGUCUUUAGUUUAAUCAUAGAUAACUAGCAUAGGUUACCAGUUUCACACACAACCUGCUUCCAAAGAACCUUGGGAUUUAUUUGUUUUCUUAUAUUUCUGUCCCACUUUUCUUCCAUCAUGGAAUCCCAAAUUGUGUCCAUGUCACUCCCAGGCAGUCGCACAUCCAGCUACUUGCCAGAUCCAUACCUCUAUGUGGGAGUUUUUUGUAUACUUCAGUGCCGCUGAUGCAUGCAAGUUUUUCACAGCAUCCAUGCAAUGCUGUCAUUGAACUACCAUCCACUAUUAUUUUCCCAUUUAAUUUUCCUUUCCGCUGAGAAAUCUAAUCAGCAUAAAAAGCCCACCAUGUAUUGAGACUCCAUACAUUAAAGCAGGGCUGGGGAACCUCUAGCCCACUGGCCAAAUUUGCUUUGACAAGGGCCCUAAUCUUUUCCUAUACCACAUACACCUGCCCCACAUCUGACAAAAUGUGACAUCAGGUGUGGUGGCAUGACACAGUUCCUUGUCGGGAACUCAAUCAUACAGCCAAUUCCUGCAGAGAGCAAGUUGAUCAGCAGCCCUUCAAAGCACCAUGUGGGGCUCUUUGCAAGCCUCACAUGGUGCUUUGAAGUCCUGAUCAGCAAUGCUAGGUGCUUGCCAGGUGCACAACCCCACCUACCUGUCAAAUUUGGCCCUGGAAGGUUAAGUGGGAGAAGGAUCUGGCCUACAGGCCAGAACAGACUUCCCACCCCUGCAGUAAAUGAACCCAACUUAGGUUUAUUAUAUGACCACUGCCAUUCCUCUCCAUGUCUUAUUUAAGGGACUGAUUAAUAGGAAGCCUAAAGUCAUUGUUUAUUUAUUUAAUGUAUUUUAUUUUAUUGUUAACUGUGGAUGUCUCUGUUUAAUGGAAGUGCCCAAAUAAAAAAUUGUAAACUAAAUUUGUAAUU